UACGUAGGGGGCAAGCGUUGUCCGGAUUUAUUGGGCGUAAAGAGCGUGUAGGCGGCCAGACAGGUCCGUUGUGAAAACUGGAGGCUCAACCUCCAGACGUCGAUGGAAACCGUCUGGCUAGAGUCCGGAAGAGGAGAGUGGAAUUCCUGGUGUAGCGGUGAAAUGCGCAGAUAUCAGGAAGAACACCCGUGGCGAAAGCGGCUCUCUGGGACGGUACUGACGCUGAGACGCGAAAGCUAGGGGAGCAAACAGG
rnacentral:rRNA from 1 species